rnacentral:rRNA from 1 species
UACAGAGGUCUCAAGCGUUGUUCGGAUUCAUUGGGCGUAAAGGGUGCGUAGGCGGCGCGGUAAGUCGGGUGUGAAAUCUUGGAGCUUAACUCCGAAACUGCAUUCGAUACUGCCGCGCUUGAGGACUGGAGAGGAGACUGGAAUUUACGGCGUAGCGGUGAAAUGCGUAGAUAUCGUAAGGAAGACCAGUGGCGAAGGCGGGUCUCUGGACAGUUCCUGACGCUGAGGCACGAAGGCCAGGGGAGCAAACGGG